GACGGAGGGUGCAAGCGUUGUUCGGAAUUACUGGGCGUAAAGCGCGGGCAGGUGGCCCUUUAAGUCCUUUGUGAAAUCCCGGAGCUCAACUCCGGAUGUGCAUAGGAUACUGGCAGGCUAGAGUGCGGUAGAGGGUAGUGGAAUUCCCGGUGUAGCAGUGAAAUGCGUAGAGAUCGGGAGGAACACCAGUGGCGAAGGCGACUACCUGGACCAGCACUGACACUGAGGCACGAAAGCGUGGGGAGCAAACAGG
rnacentral:rRNA from 1 species